AUAGCCAGCCAAGAAAACAUGUGCUGCCAGCUGUCUGCAUAAUAUGCAAAAUAAGAGAGAAGUUUGAGACUGUCAGGAAUUCUCGCCAGAGGGUGAAACUUGUCAAGGCAGAGACUGUUGAUGGUGGAUUGUUGCGAAAAGCAGCAGAAGCAAAGAAGGAUGAGAGUGUGCUUGUACACAUAAGAGAUAAGGACUGUGUAGCUCUUAAGGUCUACUACCACAGAACCUGCUAUGGAUCAUGCACCAAAUUCUUGACAAGAUCUAAAUCAGAAAGUCAGACACCAGAUGGAAGAUUGUCUGAAGGUUACAAAGAGAUUUGCAGAACCGUUGUUAAACAGAGACUGAUAAGUAACCAGGAAGUUCUACGAAUGUCAACAUUGGUAAACAUCUCAUAAUCGAUGGUAUGGCACUCAUCCAGAGUUUGCAAAAUAUCCCAGCAACUUUUGGGGAGCUUGGUGAUCUGAUACUAACCCAGGUCAUCCAACAAGCACAGAAGUCGGGCUGCAGCAGAGUGGAUUAUGUUACGGACCGUUAUCCGGCCAUCAGUACAAAAAACACUGAGAGAAUGAGAAGAGCAUCUGAUGGUUCUUAAAAGAUUCAGAUCCAUAGUAAGCAGCAAAGGACUAGUGGGGACAACAAGGAGGCACUGGAAGAAUUUCUGUACUCAGCUUAGGCAGAGGGAGACUUCAGAAGUGUGAAAAAAACAAUAGAUGUCUAUUUGACACAUGGAUCAAUGUGUCACCUCAUAAGAGUAACAGCAGGUUCUUCACAUAUCAGUGUCAGUGAUUAUGUAGCGAUAUUUGUGCCUUCUGAUUCGAACCAAUCCGAGCGUGCAGUGAGACAACACGUGCGCGCUCAAAACCGGUCUGGCGCGAGUUCAACUCUGAAAAACCCUUCUCAAUCCACCGUCCUCGCGCUCAGUUCCAUCUGUGCUCGCGUGCUCGACCUGCUCAUUCCACGCGCAAGCACAAAUACUGCAAUCAGAUGGAUUAAAUCAAAAUGCUGCAGCUUUUGGCAGAAACUACUAAACAUAAUGGUGGGAUUGAAGGAAAAAAAGAAAAAUAAAUAAACAGUUUAAUAUUUUUGCCUAAAAUAUUUAGACUAAAAUAUUUGAGUUACUAAGAGUUACUAAGUGAGGUGUGAAAAAUUAUUUUGUCUCUUUUCUUUCCAGCUUCGGAGAAGAGAUGCAAAAACUUCUUCUGAUCAUAAUCAUCAUCAUUGUCAUCAUUAUUUGAAAAGCACUUUAGAUAAGAGAUACAUCAGAUAAGAGAUAACAUCUAAUAAAAUGACUUGGCUAAACACUCAACAAUAAAAAAAAAAA